rnacentral:tRNA from 1 species
UUGGGUGUAGCUCAGUGAUAGAGUGCAUGCUUAGUAUGUGUGAGGCCCUGGGUUUAAAUUCCAGCACCAAAA